rnacentral:rRNA from 1 species
ACGGGGAUAACAGUUGGAAACGACUGCUAAUACCCGAUGUGCCGAAAGGUGAAAGAUUUAUCGUCUGGAGAAGGGCUCGCGGCUGAUUAGCUAGUUGGUAAGGUAAAGGCUUACCAAGGCGACGAUCAGUAACUGGUCUGAGAGGAUGAGCAGUCACACUGGAACUGAGAAACGGUCCAGACUCCUACGGGAGGCAGCAGUGGGGAAUUUUCCGCAAUGGGCGAAAGCCUGACGGAGCAAUACCGCGUGAGGGAGGAAGGUUCUUGGAUUGUAAACCUCUUUUCUAGGGGAAUAAAAAAAUGAAGGUACCCUAGGAAUAAGCAUCGGCUAACUCCGUGCCAGCAGCCGCGGUAAUACGGAGGAUGCAAGCGUUAUCCGGAAUUAUUGGGCGUAAAGAGUCCGUAGGUGGAAGUUCAAGUCUGUCGUUAAAGAAUGGAGCUUAACUCCAUAGAGGCGGUGGAAACUGAACAACUAGAGUGCGGUAGGGGUAACGGGAAUUCCCAGUGUAGCGGUGAAAUGCGUAGAUAUUGGGAAGAACAUCGGUGGCGAAAGCGCGUUACUGGGCCGAAACUGACACUGAGGGACGAAAGCUAGGGUAGCG